UGGGGGAUAUUGCACAAUGGGCGAAAGCCUGAUGCAGCGACGCCGCGUGGGGGAUGAAGGCUUUCGGGUUGUAAACCUCUUUCGCUAUCGAACAAGGCCCGCUUAGGGUGGGUUGAGGGUAGGUGGAAAAGAAGCGCCGGCUAACUACGUGCCAGCAGCCGCGGUAAUACGUAGGGCGCGAGCGUUGUCCGGAAUUAUUGGGCGUAAAGGGCUUGUAGGCGGCUUGUUGCGCCUGCUGUGAAAACGCGGGGCUUAACUUCGCGCGUGCAGUGGGUACGGGCAGGCUUGAGUGUGGUAGGGGUGACUGGAAUUCCAGGUGUAGCGGUGGAAUGCGCAGAUAUCUGGAGGAACACCGAUGGCGAAGGCAGGUCACUGGGCCAUUACUGACGCUGAGGAGCGAAAGCAUGGGUAGCGAACAGG
rnacentral:rRNA from 1 species